ensembl:lncRNA
CUUGAUGAAUGUCAAGGAGCUGGGCUCAAAAGGCUUCAAGAACCUGUCAAGGCAGGAACUAACUGGAACUGUGCCCAAGUGCUUACGUGACACCUCAGGGUUGGUGGACAAUAGAAAAGAGGAUCUUGACAGAAAGACUGGCAACCCAGUUUCUGCCUGACAUGGGAGGUGUUAAAGGAGAACAGCAAACUGAUGGCAUAGAUAAACUCAUAUACAAGAAUUUCCUGAGGCCAGCAGUAAAGAUCAACCCCAGUUCCCAUGAUUUCGAUGCAAAGAUCAGACUUUCCAGACCACAUGCCAAGAUUCACCAUCAGGAAUACCUGGGUUUCCACUUUCUCCUGCUACAUUAAAGUGUCCACUCGGUGAAAUGAGAACAGCUGGUGGGAGUUAAUCCAUGAGCAGUCAGCCACUUCUUACAUGAUUGAUAACAGCAACUUGGGAAACAAAUUUCCCGUCUUUGAAAUUCCCAUCCCUUCAGGCUGGAGAGCUGGCUCCGGGGAGAGUGGGAGAGCUGUCCCUACCCCCUGCCCCCACUGGCUGCAAAUUAUGGGAGAGUGGACCCUGCACUUCGCCUGGACCGUACACUAGAGCCGAACCUGUUGGCAGGGGUGACGGGGAGCCAGCCCUGAGAGCAUGAGAUCAGGAGAAAUGACCCUGCCUCAUGUGGUGGCAUGGGUGAAGGAAAGAUGCCCCUUCCCUAACCGUUGCCACCUGCAUCAGGCGGAGAGCUGGCCGUGGGGACACAACUCCACCUCACCAACUGCAGCACUCAGGAGGGCAGGCUCUGCACCUGCUGGGGAAAAACAGUAGAGAAUGGCCCUGGUUGUGUCAAUGCCAGUGAGGCAGCCCCGAGAGUGUGGCAACAGGAGAACUGGCCCUCUUGCUUGUUGUCUGCUGAAGUGAAUGAGGUGACUGGGGCAGUGCUGGAGAGCUCACCCUAGUGGUGAACAUGUGAAGAGGCCGGGCCUGUAGAUUCAAGACUACAGGAUCUCUAUGAAACAAGGCAACAGCAGGAUGUCUCCCAGAGGAGUCCCAGUGAGGGCCUACUAUCAAGGGUGAAGCAGAUGCCAGAGGCCACAAACCAGACCAAUCAAUGACUCGUUGCAAUGCACACUUAAAGGAAAGACGUAAGGACUAAAGGACUCACAGUGUGAGACUCACUGUGUCACACUACAGCUUGUGCAUCAAGACUUUUGUUUGCUUGCUUUUUGUUUUUCUUUUAAAGUUUACUUUAUUUGGGGGGAAGGAGGUUGUAAUGUCAGAGGGCAGAUAUGAAGGGACAGGGAGAUGAAUAGAAUCAGUGUGUAUGAUGUGAAAUCCACAAAGAAUCAAUAAAAAAUAUUUAAAUUCCUGUCUCUUAGGAUAUAAACCAUUAUAAUUAGUUUUGAAAGAGACUUGCUUGACACCAGAUGAAAUUAACUAUCUUAGAACAAAUGAAAAGAGUGCAUUAAGUUCUUAAACUACAAAAACACAAUGCACAUACAGAAUACAUAUGUGGAAAAUAAAACAAUACUGGCUUCCCUUCAACUCUGUGUACAGCGUUCUCAUCUAGAGUCUUAAGCAUUGAAAUGCUUUGUCUAUGUGCCAUUUCCAAAUAGGUGAGGAUUCUCUCAACUUAUAAUUGAGAGAGCUCAAGAUCAUACAACAGAGGAAAUCUGCCUGAUUCCCAACCUCUUGGUGUUUUGUACUACUCAUAUAGGCAAAUGACAUGUAAAUAAUUCCUUCUCUGACCUACCAACAAGAGAACUUGGUCUCAGAGAAUAGGGAUUUGCCUGAAGGUCAAGGAGUAGUUAGAGCUGCAGCAAAAGGGUGAAGGCUGACUGGCCAUAGCACUGUUAGAGAAUACUUCAUCCUGUAUAUACAAGCUGCAUGCAGGGAGCGGGGCAGAGUCCCAUUAUAAAGGAUGGACAAUUGUUUCUCAAAGAGCUUUACUCUUGAUGAGAUUUCCCUUUAUUUUUUGCCCUUAGUGCCACAAGAAGUAUUCUGCUAAAAUACAAAUUUGAUAUUAUCACUCACCUAUGUUGUAUUCUGCAGUGCACAGCGUAGGACCUAACUCUCUUAAUGUGCCAUAUGCAUUGCUGUUCUAACCUGUAAAUUGAUAUAUAUUGCGUCUCUAUAAUAAAUAGAAAUGUUACAAUAAGAAAAAGCUGUAGUAUGUUCAUUCACACACAACCUCAUUUCUGUCAUGGAUAUAAAAACAUAAAAAAGGAUGUGGUUUCACGAAGUGAUGUUGAUAGUAUUUGUAAUUGUCAUGUUUAAUUAUAAACAGUCUAGCUUGCUGAAUAUAUUCAACCCUUAAAAAAUCAAAAUCAG